UCUCCGUAGGUGAACCUGCGGAGGGAUCAUUACAGAGUUCCUACCCUCGCUAGUAGAUCUCCCACCCUGUGUUAUUGCUACCUUUGUUGCUUUGGCGGACCGCCCUCGCCGACCGGCCCCGGCUCGUACGCCCCCCCCAGAGGACCCCAAACCCUGAACGCCAGUGUCGGCUGUGUACUUUACAAAAGUUAAAACUUUCAACAACGGAUCUCUUGGUUCUGGCUUCGAUGAAAAACGCACCAGAUCGAAAGAGCAAACGCCUGAACUCCAGUCCCUCUU
rnacentral:misc_RNA from 1 species